GUUGAACGCUGGCGGCAGGCCUAACACAUGCAAGUCGAGCGGAGCGGCGGACGGGUGAGUAAUGCCUAGGAAUCUGCAUGUUAGUGGGGGAUAACGUCCGGAAACGGGCGCUAAUACCGCAUACUAUCAGAUGAGCCUCGGGCGGAUUAGCUGGUUGGGUGGGUAAAGGCCUACCAAGGCGACGAUGCGUAACUGGUCUGAGAGGAUGAUCAGUCACACUGGAACUGAGACACGGUCCAGACUCCUACGGGAGGCAGCAGUGGGGAAUAUUGGACAAUGGGCGAAAGCCUGAACCAGCCAUGCCGCGUGUGUGAAGAAGGUCUUCGGAUUGUAAAGCACUUUAAGUUGGGAGGCGGUACCAACAGAGUAAGCACCGGCUAACUUCGUGCCAGCAGCCGCGGUAAUAC
rnacentral:rRNA from 1 species